GUUGGCUAUGGGGACAUUUAUCCAAAGACGUUACUAGGUAAAAUUGUAGGGGGUCUUUGUUGCAUUGCUGGCGUGCUAGUAAUAGCACUACCUAUACCAAUCAUAGUAAAUAAU